CUAGAGAUAGAGUCUUCCCCUUCGGGGGACAAAGUGACAGGUGGUGCAUGGUUGUCGUCAGCUCGUGUCGUGAGAUGUUGGGUUAAGUCCCGCAACGAGCGCAACCCUUAAGCUUAGUUGCCAGCAUUAAGUUGGGCACUCUAAGUUGACUGCCGGUGACAAACCGGAGGAAGGUGGGGAUGACGUCAAAUCAUCAUGCCCCUUAUGAUUUGGGCUACACACGUGCUACAAUGGACAAUACAAAGGGCAGCUAAACCGCGAGGUCAUGCAAAUCCCAUAAAGUUGUUCUCAGUUCGGAUUGUAGUCUGCAACUCGACUACAUGAAGCUGGAAUCGCUAGUAAUCGUAGAUCAGCAUGCUACGGUGAAUACGUUCCCGGGUCUUGUACACACCGCCCGUCACACCACGAGAGUCUGUAACACCCGAAGCCGGUGGAGUAACCAUUUAUGGAGCUAGCCGUCGAAGGUGGGACAAAUGAUUGGGGUGAAGUCGUAACAAGGUAGCCGUAUCGGAAGGUGC
rnacentral:rRNA from 1 species